rnacentral:rRNA from 1 species
GAUGAACGCUGGCGGCAUGCCUUACACAUGCAAGUCGAACGGCAGCACGGGAGCAAUCCUGGUGGCGAGUGGCGAACGGGUGAGUAAUGUAUCGGAACGUGCCCAGUCGUGGGGGAUAAUGCAGCGAAAGCUGUGCUAAUACCGCAUACGAUCUAUGGAUGAAAGCGGGGGAUCGCAAGACCUCGCGCGAUUGGAGCGGCCGAUAUCAGAUUAGCUAGUUGGUGGGGUAAAGGGCUCACCAAGGCGACGAUCUGUAGCUGGUCUGAGAGGACGACCAGCCACACUGGAACUGAGACACGGUCCAGACUCCUACGGGAGGCAGCAGUGGGGAAUUUUGGACAAUGGGCGCAAGCCUGAUCCAGCAAUGCCGCGUGCAGGAUGAAGGCCUUCGGUUGUAAC